CAGCAGCAGCCACGGUAAUACGAAGGGGGCUAGCGUUGCUCGGAACCACUGGGCGUAAAGGGUGCGUAGGCGGGUCUUUAAGUCAGGGGUGAAAUCCUGGAGCUCAACUCCAGAACUGCCUUUGAUACUGAAGAUCUUGAGUUCGGGAGAGGUGAGUGGAACUGCGAGUGUAGAGGUGAAAUUCGUAGAUAUUCGGAGGAACACCAGUGGCGAAGGCGGCUCACUGGUCCAUUACUGACGCUGAGGUGCGAAAGCGUGGGGAGCAAACAGGAUUAGAUACCCCUGUAGUCCCUGUCUCUUAUAC
rnacentral:rRNA from 1 species